UGGUGUUAAGAAAGAAAGUAAUGAUUAAUAGAGAUAAAGAUAGACUUGGAGAAUAAUAAAAGAAUAAUCAAGUACGUCAAACAUAAAGCACCAGUAAGAAAAAAAAACUUAAACUGGUUAAUGGAGAAGAAAAAAAAAAAAAAAAAACCAAUUGAAAAUAAAAUCAGAUCAUAAUUAUAAUAAAGAAUUAAUAUUUAAGAACGGUCAAACAGUGCGGAGAUUGGACUUGCGGACUAACCAUAUAGUAAUCCUGAGAGGGGGAUCUGCCUGUCACAGAUACAUUCUGCACCAGAGUUCUUUUGCUCGUCUGAAACUAAUGCAGGAUAUAUCGCAAGAUCAAAAGGGCUAAAACAUGAGGUACGCAUCAUCGAGAUAACACGGCAAAGAACUCAAAUGAAAAUGCAAACCAAGGUAAACAACGUUUUUAAACGUAAAAAACUAAAUGAGAAAAAUUAAAAAACGUAUUUAUGUGAAACAAACGUACAUAUAUAUUAUAUUUUUUGACUAUACGCCUGCAUAGAUUAUGCCACUGCAUGAAUGCUUCUUCACAGUGAAUCCAAAAUUAAAAAAUUAACCUGUGAAUAUCACUUGAUAUUAAUUAUAAAGAUAUAAUAUAAUCUCUUAUAUAUCCUUAUUUUUUCCAAUCCAAUAAUUCUACAUAUAAAAAAUUUUCAUAAAUAAUCAAAAAUAGCGUUAAGAUACAGACUAGCUUCAAUUUUUUUCUUCAUCACUUCCUAACCUCUUGCCUGUGAAGAUUCAUUCACAAUAUAACAACCCAUCUGCGCAAAAGAUGGUUAAAAAGAGAACAACAUGGUUCUACGAUGAUAUAUGCAAUAAUAAUC